AUUGUUUCCAGAUUGAUCCUUAUUUCUAUCUCUCUUAUCUCUAUCACUGUGUCUCUCGUUGAUUCCAUAACCACCACCCCCUACUCUGCUCUCUCUCUACCCAUCUUUAUCUCUCUCCCUCACCCUCACCCUCACCCUCACGCUCACCGAUUACAGCUCUCCGAUCUCCAACCCUCUUCUCCACCACAACCCCCUUUCACUUUCUUCCUCUUUGAAACCCUAACCCUAACAAUCGAACCCCUCCGUUCGAAACCCUAACGAUCAUCACUGACAGAGAGGGAUCUCCAACGAUUGAAACCCUAAUGAAUAACACGAAGAAGAUCAACCCUACAAAAUGUCAGGGGGAAGCUUGGGAAAUAUAUUGAGCACGGAGGAUCAAGUAUUACAAUUUGAUUGGAUUAAGAGAGUGAAUGUUGUCAAAAGUGUGGCAAAUGCUGUGUCUUAUAUGCACCACGAUUGUUCACCUCCAAUCAUCCAUCAAGACAUAUCAAGCAAGAAUGUUUUGCUUGAUUUAGAGUAUGUGGCUCACAUCUCAGAUUUCGGCACAGCUAGAUUUAUGAAGCCUGACUCAUCCAAUUGGACUUCAUUUGCAAGGACCUAUGGGUACGCUGCUCUUGAGCUUGCUUAUACAAUGGAAGUGAAUGAGAGGUGCGAUGUUUUUAGUUUUGGGGUGCUCACACUGGAAUUGAUUAUGGGGAAGCAUCCGGGUGAUCUAAUCUCCUCUUUGUCAUCGUCGUCAUCCUUCUCCUCAUCGACAUCAACUGUGCAUGGGAUAUUAUUGAAGGAUGUGUUGGAUCAACGUUUCUUACCUCCUAAGAAUAAAGUGGCAGAGCAAGUAGUUAUGGUUGCAAAACUAUAAUUUGCAUGUUUACAAAGCAAUCCAUAGUCUUGGCCAACCAUGAGACAAGUUGCCAUGAAGCUAUCAGAUGAUCAUGUACCAAUGAAGAUAUCAGAUGAUCAAAGUCCACCUUUGCGAAAUCAAUUUCACAUAAUAACUUUAGGACAACUCUUUUGAUAUCGCCUGCUCGACCUCUUGAAGAAAUUUGGAGAUUCUUGUACAAAGUGGUGUUGUACAAUGCUUCAAAGAAAGAGAAAUUCACAAGGAUGAGGUUUGGAUACCAAAGAAGUUAAAAGUGUGUCGUUGAGACCAGAGCAUAAGACAACUUGUUUGAUUUAGCAACGUGUUUGCCAACUUUUGUGAACAAGUAAGAAGAAAUUGAAAAGAAAAAUGAACAGCAUAGAUUUAGAUUAGGAUUUUUUGUAAUAAUUUUUUGAGUAAUAAUCUUACAAUGGUAGUUUAAACCUCAAAGUAGAAUCAUUAUUGUAAAAUUAUUGUACUAAAUAUUAUUUCAGAGAAUCAUAGGCGGUGUUUGG